rnacentral:lncRNA from 1 species
UUACGAAUUCCAAGGUCGACUUCCCAUCACAUGGUUCAAAAGUGUUGAGCAACUGCCAUUGCAUGCUGAGAUGAACUCAUAUGACCCUUUGUUUCCCUUAGGUUUUGGAUUAAAAAGCAACAAGAAAGUGCUUUAGAACUGAUUGAUAUUAAAGAGUAUAAAGAUCAAAGUACUAUCGAAUUAAAUUGGCUUAAAUGCACUUUAAAUAUUAAUUUUUAUCUUUUUAUACUUUCAACCUUAAUGUUUCAACUUUAAGCCAUUGAACCUUAAUGUUUUUAAAUUUUUAUAAAUUAAAUCUUUUGGACCGAUGUGUAAUAAUUUAUUCAAAUAAGAAUAUUUUGUGUAAUUUCACUCCUAAAUAUUUUUUAAAGUACAUAAAAUUAUAAGCACGUAAUUAGUAUGCGAUGAAGAAAAUAAAAAAAAUAAAAAUUAGAGUCAAUAUAAACGAUAUAUACCAUUAAAAAAAUAUAAUUUUCCACAUUAAAAAAAAUAUUAAAUAUCUUUAAAAACAUGUAAAAUUAUAAGCAUGUGAUUAGUGUAUGACGAAGAAAAAAAAUAAGAAAAAAUUAGAGUGAUAUUUAUCCUUAAAAAAUUUAAUAUAUUUAUCCUUAAAACUUAAUUAUCCCUUUAUUUUAAAUAGCGUGACAUAUUCCGCUAAAUUUGAAGGCCAAAAAAGUUUAAUUUAUAAAAAUUUUAAAAUAUUAAAAUUUAAUGUCUUACCGUUGAAAUAUUAGGAUUUAAAGUAUAAAAAUCGAAAAUUUUAAAAAUUAAAGUGUAUUUAAACCAAGUAAAUUUACUUCACAAUAAAGGACUUGGUGAAAUUUACCACAAAAUUAUCCAGAUUUCUUCGUCAUCUUCAACCCCUCGCCCAAAAUUCGCCACCAACUACCAAAUAAUAUCCCACCACAACUAGCAAUCCACCGAAGACAUCUCCAUGGCUUCGAUCGAUACGACCUAUAUCCUCUCUCCAAAACCCUACAAAAACUCUCCCGUAACCCACUACAAUCGAGGCAUCAUCAAGAUCAAUGGACUCCUCGUAGAGUUAAUUAAGUCUGAAAUCCUCCGCUACAAGGUCUUCGAACCUAUCCUUCUUUUAGAGUAUGGUCGGCGAUAAUUGCUCUCAAUUUGCACCGGCGGCAGGAGGGUUAGAGUUUGUCGUGGUUAUUGAUUGCGUUUAAUGUUGACACCGCAGCGGCUGAAGGUUAGGGGUGGCCCUUUUUUUCUUUCUUUUUCUUUGGUUGAUUUUGAUACCCAGUUGGGUUUUUGUUGAGUUUUUCAUAGUAAUUUAGACCUGAUAAACUCCAUGGCGGCACUCUUGCAUGAGAUGGUCUUAAUGGAUUGGUUCCUGGCCUAUAUGCAUAUGCAGAAGGUAAUCUUGGUACAAUUGCACUCUUGCAUGAGAGGGUCUUAAUGGAUUGCUUCCUGGCCUAUAUGCAGAAGGUAAUCUUGGUACAAUUGCACGUGUUCGAAAAUAUAUACCUUGAUCUCUCGCUUGCUUGUGUAAAAUCGACAAUUGAUGCGGUAAAAUAUGUUACACACAACUAUAAAUUGUUAUAUGAUAAGUCAAAUUGAAUCUCAAAUAAAUAAUUAAGAAUUACUUAAUAAUUUUUCAAAUAACCAAAAGUAG